rnacentral:rRNA from 1 species
CUACGGGAUGCAGCAGUGGGGAAUAUUGGACAAUGGGGGAAACCCUGAUCCAGCAAUGCCGCGUGUGUGAAGAAGGCCUGCGGGUUGUAAAGCACUUUCGGUUGGGAGGACUGCUUCUAGCACUAAUAUUGUUGGAAGUUGACGUUACCUUCAGAAGAAGCACCGGCUAACUCCGUGCCAGCAGCCGCGGUAAUACGGAGGGUGCAGGCGUUAAUCGGAAUUACUGGGCGUAAAGCGCGCGUAGGCGGCUAGAUCAGUCGGGUGUGAAAGCCCCGGGCUUAACCUGGGAACUGCAUCCGAUACUGUCUAGCUUGAGUACAGGAGAGGAGAGUGGAAUUCCACAUGUAGCGGUGAAAUGCGUAGAUAUGUGGAGGAACACCAAUGGCGAAGGCAGCUCUCUGGCCUGAUACCGACGCUGAGGUGCGAAAGCGUGGGGAGCAAACAGGAUUAGAUACCCUCGUAGUC